GUAAGGUUAUUUUUUAAACUUUAGCUGAACACUUGACAUUGUUACCAACCGCUUGAUCCAACCUCCAUACAUUUACGCUUCUUCCAUUAUUGAGACAAGGGCUAUUUUAGUAUGACGCCAAUCUGCCAAUCUGGGACUAGAGAAAAAUAAUGAAAAAUGAUAUUUUUCAGUCUAAGUAGUUGUUGGGAGGAAUGGGUUAAAAGCAAAAGAUUGGCAAGGAGGACAGGAUGAGAAUGGAAGAUUGGUGAGGACUGUAAAUACACUCAAGUGACCUUUCAGCUGAAAAUUCAUAAAUCUGGGGGAGCAGUAAUGUAGAAAAAACACAUAUAAUUUACCUACUACCUUUUGUGCUCUGUAUAUAGAUACCACAGGUGUUUGGCAGACUCAGAGGCACCCUAUCAGAUGUGCUUGAGCUCCUGAUCUUGGUACAGAGAUCAAAGAAGCACAAUGGGAAUCACAGCAUGGUGGUAAAAAGUGCACCUGCACAAACCCAUGAUAAACGGGUGUAAAGAGCAGGCUGGUGAUCUCCUAGCAUGGACCGAGCUCAGCAGUGCCUGCAUCCCCUUGUGUGCCUGCAUCCCUGCUCUGCCCGAGCAUCGCUUUGGGGAUCCCCCAGUUGGCAAGAAAAGAUCAGCUCAACUGGGAAUACUGGAAUUCCUUGUCCCUGCCUGGAAAGCAGUUCAGGAGCUUUGAAAAGCUUUUUGCCACAACCUGCCUAUCAACAGCUGUUCCACAAAUCUGGAAGUGUUCACAGGAUAAAUCACUACCUUUGGUCCUUUUUUAUACAGGGAGAGAAAAAGGCUAAGCACAAGAAAAACAGGAACAUUAUGCUACCACCACAGAAAAUGUUGUCCUCAAUGUCUGUGUCUGCAGGAGUGGUCAAUGGGACAAUGAUUUUGACUGGAAGUCAAGUAACUUUCAGCAGAAUGACAAAAGAAAGAUAAAGUCAAGUGAGGACCAUGGCAACUGAGACAUUUCUGAGGCUGAGGUUUCCCAAGGAAGAAGACUCCUUGGUUUGCUUUUGGAUCCAGGAAUGUCUAACAGGCAACUUCAAGUCAAGCAUCUGAACUGGAGUAGAACUGGAAGCUGUGUUGUGUUCCCUUUUGGUACACAAAGUUAUGGACUCUGCUCAUCUAAUGUGUCCUUGACGGGUUACAUUUUAAUAACUGCAACAGUGAGCUUUGUUUCCAGCCUCAUUCCUGCUGCUUUUCUGGAGCUUGACAUUAGGAAGUCUUCGUCCCAUAGACAAGAGAAAAAAAGAAGACAGUGUAAGAAUGAAAGAGUAAAAUACCCUCUUAAGGGAACUGAGGCUUCACCCUGCUCUAAUCUGACUCAUGGCUCAAACUCCUGUUCCAUAUUCUUCUCCAUUUGAUAAAAAUUUUAUUUCAGACCCGUCUUGCCAAUAAGAACUCAAAGUAGAUGUAAAUCUUUGUGUUGGAAAGCUCAGAAUUCAAAUUCAACAUUAUCAUAACAAAUCAGUAACCUUUUGAUUAUUACAAUGAAACUGAGGACUUUGGUGGUUCUUAACGGUUCUUCUAACACAUUUUUCAGUUUUUUGUGGAUAAGACAGUCAUAUAUUUAUAGACCAGUUGCCUCUUUUUUUUUUUUUUUUUUUUUUUAAUGACUUAAAUGGAGUGCCUCUAUUUUGCUUGGCCAGCUCAGUUCUGACUCAGAUUAUUUUGGACCAGCUAUUGCUGGAACCACUCCAUAGUUCUUAAUUCAUUGUAAAAAAUAUAUCUCUUCCAAAUCCUGAAUUAGCAUUUUGCUUAUACACUCAUUUAAACUGAGUUAAUGAGACUUAUUAAAGGCUUAAACAGAGAGAUCCCAUUCAUCUUUAUUACUAUUUGUAGAACUUCAGCUGAAAAGUACCACUGUCACCGACAAAAUAUCCUCUCAUUGAAGCUGAGCUUUGAAAAUAUUUUUUUUUCCCCCAGGCAGUACUAUCUACGGCAAUUUUAUGCUUUAAAAACAUAGUGACAGUUUACUAAUUGUAUUGCUUUUGGCUGUCUGCUCCUUCCCUCAUUCAUACAUCAUUUAGUUUCCUUUUAGGUGCUGAAAACAUCAGCUAAUCUGUAGAAAAAGACAGCUGGUUUGAACUGAUGUUUUCCUAUAAUACUCUUUUUUAUAUUCUCUUGUGUGCCAUCAUGGUACAUCAAUAAUUUAUAUAGCAUUUAAUUAAGCAAUAAGAUACAAGUGGGCAUGUUUUCUUUAGCUAUUCUAUGCACAUCAGCAAGGCCUUGUUCCCUUUAAGGCCUUGAAGCGUGUAUCGCAAUGGAAGUAAUAGAUCUAUGAACACAUUCCCUAGAGUACUUUACUGCUCUUGUUUUAUGUUUUACGUCCUUUCAAUUUAUUUUGAGGACUUUUUUUUUCCUUUUCAUUUGGAUUUUUCAGGUCAAAACUAGAGAAUAUUCUAUUUCUUUGGCUAUUUAUAUCCUUUUAUAUGACGAGUACAUUAACAAAUAAAACAGUGUUGUCCUAUACA
rnacentral:lncRNA from 1 species